rnacentral:rRNA from 1 species
AUUGAACGCUGGCGGCAGGCCUAACACAUGCAAGUCGAACGAGUGGCGGACGUGUGAGUCAUGUCUGGGACACUGCCCGAUGGAGGGGGAUAACUACUGGAAACGGUAGCUAAUACCGCAUACCAUCGGAUGUGCCCAGAUGGGAUUAGCUUGUAGGUGGGGUAAUGGCUCACCUAGGCGACGAUCCCUAGCUGGUCUGAGAGGAUGACCAGCAACACUGGAACUGAGACACGGUCCAGACUCCUACGGGAGGCAGCAGUGGGGAAUAUUGCACAAUGGGCGCAAGCCGGAUGCAGCCAUGCCGCGUGUAUGAAGAAGGCCUUCGGGUUGUAAAGUACUUUCAGCGGGGAGGCGUUACCCGCAGAAGAAGCACCGGCUAACUCCGUGCCAGCAGCCGCGGUAAUAC